AUAUACUCUGCAUGCAAGAAGAUAGUGACCACAAGGACCCAGACACCAGAUUUUGUCUUGCUGUCCAGGCUGGAGCACAUGUCUAUGACAUGACCUCACAGAUGACAAGGUCAGUUUGGUCCAGGAGAGCUGGAGACAGCCACAUUGAGAUGAUGUCUCCAGGGUCAGCUGUAAGGGUCUGGAUCCAGAGGGAGAGUCACAGAUGGAUGGCUACCCAGCUGUUUCUCUUCCUGUUGAGAAGAGCCUAACUUACUGCCCCAGCGAGUGGGCUGCCUUUCUGAUGUGUUUGACCCGCAGAAUGUUGUGGAACAACUUCUCCCCACUCAUGGGACCCCACUGCCACACUGUGGAUCCAAAAUCACAGGGAGAGGCCAUGUGAGGACACUUCUCUCAAAAGCCCACUAACCUCUACCCAUUGGAAGGCACUGUCCCAGCUACCUGUGCCAGAUGAGUUUUCAGCAACAGAGCCCAGCUGCUGGGUGACUGAAACCCCAAGACAGACCCCAGGCAAGGGCUGCCAGCUGGGACUGGAAAGGCAACAACAUGGCUUAAGUGACCGGCAACAGGUAACAGGAACAGUCUUUGUCAUCAGGCUAUUGGUCCCCAAGCAGGGAUGGUAUCCUCAUCAC
rnacentral:lncRNA from 1 species